rnacentral:rRNA from 1 species
GGAACACCGGUGGCGAAGGCGGGUCUCUGGGCCUUACCUGACGCUGAGGAGCGAAAGCAUGGGGAGCGAACAGGAUUAGAUACCCUGGUAGUCCAUGCCGUAAACGUUGGGCGCUAGGUGUGGGGACUUUCCACGGUUUCCGCGCCGUAGCUAACGCAUUAAGCGCCCCGCCUGGGGAGUACGGCCGCAAGGCUAAAACUCAAAGGAAUUGACGGGGGCCCGCACAAGCGGCGGAGCAUGUUGCUUAAUUCGACGCAACGCGAAGAACCUUACCAAGGUUUGACAUCACCCGUGGACCUGCAGAGAUGUGGGGUCAUUUAGUUGGCGGGUGACAGGUGGUGCAUGGCUGUCGUCAGCUCGUGUCGUGAGAUGUUGGGUUAAGUCCCGCAACGAGCGCAACCCUUGUUCCAUGUUGCCAGCACGUAGUGGUGGGGACUCAUGGGAGACUGCCGGGGUCAACUCGGAGGAAGGUGGGGAUGACGUCAAGUCAUCAUGCCCCUUAUGUCUUGGGCUGCAAACAUGCUACAAUGGCCGGUACAAUGGGCGUGCGAUGCCGUGAGGUGGAGCGAAUCCCUAAAAGCCGGUCUCAGUUCGGAUUGGGGUCUGCAACUCGACCCCAUGAAGGUGGAGUCGCUAGUAAUCGCGGAUCAGCAACGCCGCGGUGAAUACGUUCCCGGGCCUUGUACACACCGCCCGUCACGUCAUGAAAGUCGGCAACACCCGAAACUUGUGGCCUAACCCCUUUUUGGGGAGGGAGUGAGUGAAGGUGGGGCUGGCGAUGGACG